rnacentral:rRNA from 1 species
AAUCAACGCUGGCGGCGUGCCUAACACAUGCAAGUCGAACGCGAAAGGGGGCGUUCGGCUCCUAAGUAGAGUGGCGUCCGGGUGAGUAACACGUAGGUAAUCUGCCUUCGGGUGGGGAAUAACCAGUCGAAGAUUGGCUAAUACCGCAUAAUGCAGCGGCACCUAAUGGUGAUUAGUUGUUAAAGCGGGGGAGUCGUAAGACCUCGCGCCUGAAGAGGAGCCUGCGGCAGAUUAGCUAGUUGGUGAGGUAAUGGCUCACCAAGGCUUCGAUCUGUAGCUGGUCUGAGAGGACGGCCAGCCACACUGGCACUGACACACGGGCCAGACUCCUACGGGAGGCAGCAGUGGGGAA